GCUUCAAAUUUUAUAUGUGAUUGGCACUCUGGGAAAAAUGCUGUUUCACCACAAAGAAAACACUGGCUUUCAGAAAGUAACCAUAUUCUUCAAUUAACCAAAAGACAGAAGACAAAUGGAUUUUACUGAUGUCUUAAAUAAUCAAUGAUCAAGAGAAGGGAAAAAAGUAAAUCUCUUUGAUUGAUUUCUUUCUCCCAGAGGAAGCCUAGAAUGACAAAGGAAAUGCAAGCUACUCCAGCCACUUGACUUGCAAAUCAAUUUGGCCUGGAUUAUAACUGGGAAUUAAACCCUAAUAAAAGGUAGAGGGCUGGUGCUAAAACAACAGUGACUAAAGCACGAAGCUUUGCCAUUGACAGUGAAUGACUAAAAAGCCGUGUGUCAAAACAAGACUAUAAUUUGGCUAGCUAGACUACGGGGGUAAUACAACAGCUGCAGGUCAGGUUACUGUGUCUCCGUGUAAAGAUCUGAAGAAUCCACUGGCUGCGUCCAGCUCUUGGUCCCCAUUUAAAAAUGCUUAGAAAAACUGUAGCCCUUCCUGGCAUGUGGGCAUUUUUUUGUUGAAUAGAUGAUCUAUUAAUGGAAAGAAAAAAAAAGUCAAAUGGCACACUGUGCUCUCUCAGCUUUUCUGGGAAAAAGUAACAAUGAAAUGAUUCUACCAUUAGUAUCAUUUACAACUUGAACCAGUAUAUUUAAACUAUAGCUUUAAAAAUCAUCUUCAUUUCCAGACCACAUUUGUAGAUCAUAAAACCCAACCAAAUGCUAGGGUAGGGAAAAUUCAGUACUCCUUAUUGGCCUAAAAUCUGUCAUUCUCUGAUGUGUGGUAUUACACCUACUGUGUGUGUUGAGGGAGGCAUGUGCGCGAGUGUUUUC
rnacentral:lncRNA from 1 species